rnacentral:rRNA from 1 species
AUUGACCGGGACCCGCACAAGCGGUGGAUGAUGUGGAUUAAUUCGAUGCAACGCGAAGAACCUUACCUGGUCUUGACAUGUACGGAAUCCUCCAGAGACGGAGGAGUGCCUUCGGGAGCCGUAACACAGGUGCUGCAUGGCUGUCGUCAGCUCGUGUCGUGAGAUGUUGGGUUAAGUCCCGCAACGAGCGCAACCCUUGUCAUUAGUUGCCAUCAUUUAGUUGGGCACUCUAAUGAGACUGCCGGUGACAAGCCGGAGGAAGGUGGGGAUGACGUCAAGUCCUCAUGGCCCUUAUGACCAGGGCUUCACACGUCAUACAAUGGUCGGUACAGAGGGUAGCCAAGCCGCGAGGUGGAGCCAAUCUCACAAAACCGAUCGUAGUCCGGAUUGCACUCUGCAACUCGAGUGCAUGAAGUCGGAAUCGCUAGUAAUCGCAGGUCAGCAUACUGCGGUGAAUACGUUCCCGGGUCUUGUACACACCGCCCGUCACACCAUGGGAGUGGGGGAUACCAGAAGUAGGUAGGGUAACCGCAAGGAGCCCGCUUACCACGGUAUGCUUCAUGACUGGGGUGAAGUCGUAACAAGGUAGCCA